rnacentral:rRNA from 1 species
UGAGUAAAGCGGCGCACGGGUGAGUAACACGUGGGUAAUCUGCCCUGGAGUGGGGAAUAACACCGGGAAACCGGUGCUAAUACCGCAUACCAUCCGCAAGGAUGAAAGGAGCAAUUCGCUCUAGGAGGAGCCCGCGGCUGAUUAGCUAGUUGGUGAGGUAAUGGCCCACCAAGGCUACGAUCAGUAUCCGGUCUGAGAGGACGGUCGGACACACUGGAACUGAGACACGGUCCACACUCCUACGGGAGGCAGCAGCGGGGAAUUUUUCGCAAUGGGGGCAACCCUGACGAAGCAACGCCGCGUGGGUGAUGAAGUCUCUUGGGACGUAAAACCCUUUCGACGGGGAAGAAACCGCAAGGUUGACGGUACCCGUACAAGAAGCCCCGGCUAACUCCGUGCCAGCAGCCGCGGUAAUACGGGGGGGGCAAGCGUUGUUCGGAAUUACUGGGCGUAAAGGGUGCGUAGGCGGCUCGUUAAGUUAGAUGUGAAAACUCUGGGCUCAACCCAGAGCCUGCAUCUAAAACUGGCGGGCUAGAGUUCUGGAGGGGGUAGCGGAAUUCCUGGUGUAGCGGUGAAAUGCGUAGAUAUCAUGAGGAACACCGGUGGCGAAAGCGGCUACCUGGACAGAAACUGACGCUGAGGCACGAAAGCUAGGGGAG